rnacentral:rRNA from 1 species
AUGCAUGUCUAAGUACAGCUCUCGUAUAGUGAAACCGCGAAUGGCUCAUUAAAUCAGUUACUAUUUCUUAGAUCUUACUUUUGUUACUUGGAUAACUGUGGUAAUUCUAGAGCUAAUACAUGCAAUUCAACCCUGACUUCUGGAAAGGGUGCUCUUAUUAGACUCAAAACCAAUGUCCGAUUUCGGUCGGUCUCGUUUUGGUGACUCUGGAUAAAUUGGCGGAUCGCAGCGCUUUACGCGGGCGACGUAUCUUUCAAAUGUCUGCCCUAUCAACUGUCGACGGUAGUGUAUUGGACUACCGUGGUUGCAACGGGUAACGGGGAAUUAGGGUUCGAUUCCGGAGAGGGAGCCUGAGAAACGGCUACCACAUCCAAGGAAGGCAGCAGGCGCGCAAAUUACCCACUCCUAGCACAGGGAGGUAGUGACAAGAAAUAACAAUACGGGACUCUUUCGAGGCCCCGUAAUUGGAAUGAGAACAGUGUAAAGCACUUAACGAGGAUCUAUUGGAGGGCAAGUCUGGUGCCAGCAGCCGCGGUAAUUCCAGCUCCAAUAGCGUAUAUUAAAGUUGUUGCAGUUAAAAAGCUCGUAGUUGGAUCUCGGGAGCGAGCGAGCGGUCGGGCGUUCAGCCGUGUACUUCUCACUCAUCCUACUGACCGGUACGUGCCCUGUGCUCUUAACCGAGUGU